AUGGCCGAGAACACGCCGCAGCCGGCGGCCACCCUUCUCUCCAACCUCACUGUCGCGGAGGGCACGACGGCGACUCCGGCCGCAACCGCUCUCCCCUCCGCCCCCGCGACCGCGGUGGUGGGCACGCCGUCGCCGCCGCCGCUGCAGCUCUUCAACUCGAUGACGAAGAAGAAGGAGCCCUUCGUGCCGCGCGUCGAGGGCAAGGUCGGCAUGUACGUCUGCGGCGUCACGCCGUACGACUUCAGCCACGUCGGCCACGCCCGCGCCUACGUCGCCUUCGACGUCCUCUACAGGUAUCUUAAAUUCUUGGGGUAUGAAGUUGAAUAUGUGCGCAACUUCACUGAUAUCGAUGAUAAGAUUAUUAAACGGGCAAAUCAAAAUGGUGAAACUGUUACUAGCUUGAGCAGUCGGUUCAUCGCUGAGUUCCUCACUGAUGUGGCUGAGCUUCAGUGUCUGCCCCCUACUCACGAGCCACGCGUGACAGAGCAUAUUGACAAUAUCACUGACUUAAUCAAAGAGAUAAUCAAGAAUGACAAGGCCUAUGUUGUAGACGGUGAUGUUUACUUCUCCGUCGACAAUUUUCCCGAAUAUCUCAGUUUAUCUGGCAGGAUACUGGACCACAAUCGUGCUGGUUCACGGGUUGCUGUCGAUACAAGAAAGCGGAACCCUGCAGACUUUGCAUUGUGGAAGGCUGCUAAGGAAGGUGAGCCUUCUUGGGAGAGCCCUUGGGGUCAGGGAAGGCCAGGAUGGCAUAUUGAAUGCAGUGCAAUGAGUGCUCACUAUUUAGGGCAUGUGUUUGAUAUUCAUGGUGGAGGGAAAGAUUUGAUAUUUCCUCAUCAUGAGAAUGAGCUUGCACAAAGUCGAGCAGCUUAUCCAGAAAGUGAGGUCAAAUGCUGGAUGCAUAAUGGCUUUAUUAACAUUGAUGAUCAGAAAAUGUCAAAAUCAGUUAAUAACUUCUUCACGAUCAGAGAUAUUAUAACUCUGUAUCAUCCUUUGGCGCUGAGAUUUUUCCUGAUGCGCACCCAUUAUAAAUCAGACGCGAAUCAUUCUGAUAAAGCACUUGAGAUUGCAUCUGAUCGUGUGUACUACAUUUAUCAGACUUUAUAUGACUGCGAUGAAGUGGUGUCUCUGCAUGGUGAAGAGAAUACAUCUGUCCCAGUCCCAGCCGAGGAGCAAAAACUGGUUGAGGACCACGAUAAAGCUUUUUUGGAAUCAAUGUCAGAUGAUCUUCGAACGACAGAUGUGCUGGAUGGCUUCAUGGAGCUGCUGAAGGCAAUAAACGGCAAUUUAAAUGAUUUGAAGAAGCUGCAGCAAAAACUGGAACAACAAAAGAAGAAGCAACAGCAGCAAAAGAAGCAGCAGCAGAAGCAACAGCGGCCACAGAAGCAGCCGGAAGAUCACAUUCAAGCUCUGAAUGCACUGGGAGCAGAAAUUAAACACAAGCUAUCCAUCCUUGGUCUGAUGCCACCCUCUCCUUUGGCAGAGGUACUGAAGCAGCUGAAGGACAAGGCACUGAAGCGGGCAGGGCUGACCGAGGAAUCGCUGCAGGAGCAGAUUGAGCAGAGGAUCGCCGCGAGGAACAACAAGCAGUUCGACGUGUCGGACCAGAUCAGGAAGGAGCUCGCGGGCAAAGGCAUCGCCCUGAUGGACGAGCCUACCGGGACGGUGUGGAGACCAUGCGAACGGGAGUAG
rnacentral:rRNA from 1 species